UUCUCCCAGUUGGGCUUCUCCCUGUAUCUUGGUCAGUAAACCGGAUGGAACAAACCGUUUUUGUACGGACUACCGUAAGGUAAACAGUGUCACAAAGCCAGAUUCAUUUCCUCUUCCUCGGAUGGAGGACUGUGUUGAUCAAGUCGGUGCAGCUAAGUUUGUGAGCAAAUUUGACCUGUUAAAAGGCUAUUGGCAGGUGCCACUGACGAGUAGGGCACGUGAAAUCUCUGCCUUUAUUACACCCUUUGGUCUGUACUCGUAUUCAGUUAUGAGUUUCGGUCUGCGCAAUGCACCUGCCACUUUUCAGCGACUUAUGAACAGGGUUGUCGCCGGUCUGACCGGGUGCGCUGUUUAUUUGGACGAUGUAGUGAUCUAUGCAGAUACUUGGGAAGAACAUCUGUCCCGUAUUCAAGCCUUGUUCGAACGUCUGGCUGCGGGUCGCCUCACAAUCAAUCUGGCAAAAUGUGAGUUUGCUCAGGCGACCGUUACAUACCUUGGAAAAAUGGUUGGGCAGGGUGAAGUGCGUCCUGUUCGGGCUAAAGUGGUGGCUAUUGAUGCUUUUCCACCACCAACUACUAAAAAGGAACUGAUGCGUUUCUUGGGCAUGAUUGGUUAUUACCGUAGUUUUGUAAUAACUUCUCUACUGUGGUCGCUCCCUUGACAGAUAUGCUGAAAGCUAAGGCUGUUUAUGUUUGGUCUACUCGUUGUCAACACGCUUUUGAAGAUGCAAAGAGGUUGCUUACCUCAACUCCAGUGCUGGCUGCUCCUCGCAUGGAUUUGUCAUUUACCUUGCAGGUGGAUGCUAGUCAUGUGGGGGCAGGUGCAGUUUUGCUGCAAGCAGAUGUGUCUGGGAUUGAGAGGCCUGUUAGUUUCUUUUCCAAAAAGUUUAUUAUUGAAAAGGAAGCGCUAGCACUAAUUUGGGCGCUACAACACUUCGAAGUGUAUGUCGGGUCGGGGGUAGUACCUAUUGUGGUCUACACCGACCAUAACCCCCUCACUUUUUUGAGGUCCAUGAUGUGUCCAAACCAGAGGAUAAUGCGAUGGUGUUUAUUUUUACAAUCAUUCCAUCUCGAUGUGAGGCACAUCCGGGGGACUGAAAACGUGAUUGCUGAUGCGCUCUCUCGUGCGCCCUGUUCCUAAUGUUUACGUGACUGACCAUUGUUUCGUAUUGUCAUGUUCUCUCUGUCCUGUCUGCUCCCCCCUGGUCUUGUUUUCUUCUUUCCUCUUAAAUGUUGCUUCCUGUGCGAAGGUCGCUGAGGUCUGGGGAGGAGGUUGGCUGGGGCAAAUUGUAAGUGUGAACACGUAAACCCUCAUCAAUUUGUGGUGCAGAAGCUGUGUCAAUUUGGAACUUAGAGGCUGGUAUUUUGUUCCGGGGUCCUUGUUGGUCCCCGGUUUUAUGGGGGGGGGGAUGUGACGACCCUCCCACUCUGUCUGCCGUAUUCUCUCUGUUAUUUCCUUAUUAGGAUGCUGGUGGGCGGAGUUGGGAGGGUCGUCAGCUACAUGGGAAACACCUGGGCCCGGUGUCUCCCAGGAUAAAUACACCACUUCCCCAUUCAUGGAGGAGACUCUCUCCAUGCAGACACCCUUUGUAGAUUGUGUUGUGGUUCUUGGUGGCCGUUUGUUUGUUUGUUUGCUUUGGCACCUUUCAUCACCCUGCAUUAUCACAUUCAUGCAUGCAAAACACUCACUUACACUACUGAUUACUGAUUACACACACCAUUGUAUAUUAUACUUAGUUGCUUUAGUUAAUAAAUACAUAUUUUGCUACUCCUUAUCUCCACGUUGUCUCCCUUUGUUACGGGCUUUGAGCCGGUUCGUGACACUGUCAUCUGAUUCCAUAUCGGUGGCACACACAUCCAGAACUGAACCCCUGAGGGAAAUAGUGCGUGAUGCUGGACCCAGGAACCUCCAUUCUCCCCUGGCCUGGACGCCUGAAGCCUCAACAGCUUUUGCACUCCUGAAAACGGAUCUAUCAGCGGCAGCAGCUCUGACUGCACCUGACUACAAGAACAAGUUCCAUUUGGAUGUUUCUGAAAAGGAAGGAUUCACCUCGUCCGUCCUAUUCCAGAAACAAGAGGGGGAGAGAAGGGUAUUGAUGUACCACUCCUCCAAACUCGACCACAUUGAGGUAGGACAGACAACAUGCUCCAGAUACGUUGCUGCAGUAGCAAAAGCUAUUGAAAAAACAGCCCCCCUCGUGAUGUGUCAUCCAUUAGAGAUCCACACCCAUCAUGGCGUUGCUGCGUAUCUGAUGAGUAAAGAAUUCACUUUCAGUGCUGAAAGAAAAACCAAGAUCCAGAACAAUUGCACUCGUCACAUAUCACGUUUGUUAACACCGACAAAAAUAUGGCAGAUGCACUCAACGCAGAAGGACUGCCCCACUCUUGUGCUGAAAGAGCGGCACAAGAACUAAAACUGAGACCAGACCUGAAGAAUGAACCACUGACCAAUCCCGACCAAUGGCUGUACACUGAUGGCUGCUGCUACAAAGGAGAAGAAGGAAACAUAGCAGCCUAUGCGGUGGUGCAGCAACUCCCAGACGGCUCACACGUCACCCUUGAAUCAGCCAUCAUCCCUCAACCAGCAUCUGCCCAAUUAGCUGAAAUCAUCGGAUUGACGCAGGCCCUCAUCAGAGGAAAAGGAAAGACUGUGAAUAUCUAUACAGACUCAGCCUGUGCCCAUGGAGCAGUCCACACUGAUGGACCCAGAACUUUUACGAGAAGCACAUGGCCCCACACACGAAGGCAAACGAAAGACCCUUCAAAAGGUCUCGCACAUCUGGUGGCACCCUCACAUGAAAGAAAUGACUGACUUAUUUUGUGACGAAUGCAACAUAUGUGGCAGCCACAACCCAAAGAAACCAUAUCAAACACCAAUGGGCUCAUACCCAGUACCUAAUGCAUGUUUUCAGGACAUUAGUAUAGACUACACCGACAUGGGCCCCGACAAUGUAUCUAAAGGCAAACGCUAUCUCCUAGUUAUGGUAGAUAGGUUCUCCAAAUGGGUAGAGGCAAUACCAACAGCAAAGGAGGAUGCUAGGUCAGUCGUUAAGUGACUACAAACCAAACUAAUACCCAGGUAUGGCAUCUAAAGACAAAUCAGAUCUGAAAAUGGCUCACAUUUUAGUAACAAACACCUAAGACAGGUGGAAGAAAGAUUUGGCAUAACACACAGAUUCGGUUCUGUGUACCACCCCCCGGUCCCAAGGUCUGGUGGAACGCCAAACCAAACGCUGGAAGCUAAGAUAGCUAAAGCAUGUGCAGGUUCGAAGUUGACAUGGGUUGAAGCCCUGCCUCUGGCGUUGAUGGCCAUGAGAGCCUCACCAGGAGCAGGCACCCAUCUCUCUCCUCAUGAGAUAAUGACUGGAAGAGUCAUGCCUGGUCCACCAAGGGAGGGAGGUCAUAUGCCCGCUCUUGAUGUACAACAAAUUGUAAUGUCUGAUUAUGUGAAAAAACUGACGGUUCUCUCUGCAGCACUCUCUACCCAGGUUCACAAGAUCCAGGAGGGGGAGCUGCCGGGGGACACGCCACCACUGAAGGUAACGGUUGGUGACUGGGUGAGGGUUAAAGUCCACAAGAGAAAGUGGCUGGAACCCAGGUGGACUGGACCGUACGAAGUGAAGGAGGUUACUUCACACUCAGUCCAGGUCAAAGGCGUCCAGGACCUGCUUUCUCGUAUUAAAUCUCCAGGCCCUGUCAGGAUGUCAUCCAGGCCCAAGAGAGCAGUGGGAUCAAUGACAGGGGAUCUCACCUAUAUUGAUGCCAUUGGGGUUCCCAGAGGGGUACCAGAUGAGUAUAAACUUGUUGACCAAGUGGCUGCAGGCUUUGAAUAAUCUAUUUGUUGGUGGUGUACAGUUAACAAAAAUGUAGAUCGUAUUAACUACAUUCAUUUCAAUGUCCAAAAACUAGGCAAUUGGACUCAGCAAGGAUUCGAGGCCGUACAUGGACAACUGGCAGCAACAUCAUUGAUGGCUUUUCAAAAUAGAAUUGCUGUUGACAUGUUAUUGGCGGAACGCGGUGGCGUUUGUGCCAUGUUUGGGGAACAAUGUUGUACUUUCAUUCCCAAUAACACAGCAACUGAUGGUAGUCUUACCGUUGCCCUAGAGGGUCUUCGCACACUUAAUGGUAAGAUGAAGCACCACUCCGGAGUUGACACCUCUAUGUGGGACUCCUGGAUGGAUGCGUUUGGUAACUAUAAGACCCUGAUCUCCUCUGUCCUAGUGUCCGUAGCUGUUUUUGUGGCUAUCCUAACCCUGUGCGGUUGUUGCUGUAUUUCUUGCGCUCACACAUUAGCCACUAUAGUGAUCACCACUGCCAUUACCCCAUUGCCCAGCGACCAGACCCACAUGUACCCGCUUUUGGCGGUUGAUGACCCUGAUGAGGCGUUUCCACCUUUUCAGGAACCCCCUCUUCCUGACUACUCCUCUUGGCCACUCCAGGUGUAGCACUUGGAGUGGCCUCCUUUUUGUCCUUGCUUAUUUAUCUCGCUUCGCUGCAUACUUGAGGGGGCUUCUUGUUUUCGUUAUAUCCUCCUCGUUUCUGCUAUAGUUUUCACGUCUUAAAAGACGUGAAGAGGGGGACUCAAAAAAUUUGGUUCCUACCAAAUUGUUUGGUUGCUUCAUAUUUUAGUUCUAUUGUUCACGUCUAAUAGAUGUGAAGAGGGGGAUUUGUAAUAUAUGCAUAUUCAUACACAUAGCUCAUAUAUCAAGCACAUAUAUUUAGGUGGCUUUAGUGCCCUCAGGCUGCUUUAAGAGCCUGUUUGUGACCAUAGGAUUAAAGCUUGCACAACACACACACCCAGCCAUAAACUGCCCCUCUCAGUUCCCCUUAUCUCACGACUCCGGGACACACAGACAUUUCGUCGCACGAACACACACACCUCACUCCCCUCGCUACUGGUCGGGUGCCCAGAGCAGGGGACUCUGCUGUGCACCAAUGGGGCUCCUGCUCUGGCUAGAGCAGGUCCGCCUCCAACUCUUCAGGACCAGUCAGAAGACCAACACGACAAGACUCUACCUACAUUAUUCCAUGUAUAAAAUCUGCUGUAAUCUCUGUUCAGGACCCUUUUCAGCUGACUCCUUACUGAGUCAUAUGACUAGGUCCGUGCACGCUAAAACUGCAGGACAAGAUAUCUUUUGACUCAAUAAACUGCCUUUUGUUACAACUGAAAUCCACUCUGUCCAGCGUCCGUGAUUUGUUCUCACUCUCCAGUAUUUGAACAUCAACACUGGCUAACUCAUUGAUCCAGUUUUGUAAAAUACCAAUCUGAUAGGUAGCUAGUUAACUAGCUAUCUAGUGCUGUAGCAACUAGCUACUUUAGCAACUCUUCUCAUUUUAACCAAAUUGUUGUCUAGCUGGUGUGGUAACUGGAUCCACAAAUUGAUGUUACACCUUCAAUCAAGUGACUAAGUAUACUGAGUUUUCGUGGCGUGUCGGGUGACAUUCAUUGUUGGCAUUGUUGGUAGGAUGGGCUAACUAACUUAGGCUGCAUUUAGACAGGCAACCCAGUUCUGAUCUUUAUUUUAUGUGAUGUGAUUGGUUAAAAGACCAAUUAGUGGAAAAUGUAUCAGAAUUGGGCUACCAGUGUGAACAGAUUUUUCAAACAAAAGGCACAUUCAGAAGGAAGUAACAUUUUGGAACAUUCAGAUAGAAAUGUGCUUGUUAUGUAGAACAAACAUCCCUCUCUGGCAUGUAGAAUAAGGAAUCACGCCUGCUCUAUUCAUGGUAUUUCUAUCUGCAACGUUUAAGAACAUAUUUUGGCAAAUGAACAUGGCCAAAGUAGUGACUGCUAGCUAGAACCAAUGACGACAUACGUUAGCUGUUCCUCUGUGCAAAUGCGAAAGUGGUUAUGUUUUGAUACAAAGUAACAGUAAACCAAUAAAGUAAUGUUAACAUGACGUACUCUUUUUGGCAAUCCAGAAUCUGAUAUAUUGGCUGCAGAUACUGAGACAGAGGGGCGCUGUUUCUCUCGCUUGGAUGCUUUUUCCUAUGAGAUAGAUUCAGCUACUUACGAAUUGGAGCAAAAUGUAAAAUUAUUUCUUUAUUUGUUUUCUUUUUUCUUGUUCACAUUUUUGGGGAAGCAUGGCUUCCCUUGGCACCCAUGAAUACACCCACUGCAGUAGGUCUAAUGACAAUGGCCAAAUGUCCUUACACUGAUGGUGUUUGUAACAGAUGUUUCUUUCCAUUAAUCAGGUGGUUUGGAUGCUGAAAUUAUUUUGGAAUGGAUGAAAGUGCUGCAGGUAGCCUACUUUUUGAAGUGAUUUGUUCAACAAUCAGAUGAAAACAUCAUGACUGGUUGUGUUCAUGCCACAUUAAAAUGUAAUACAUUGUUACCGUUAAAUGACAUCUUAACUAUUAGGCACAAUAGGGGCUCCCCAAAUGUCAAGGUACAAUUUGCACUCUGCUAACAUACUUUGAAUAAGGGCACAUAUACACUAAUGUACACACAUCCCUUUCGAUAUCGGACGGAUUUGUAAACACGUGGAAUCUGUGCAUGUUUUUAGAAAAGCUAACCAUCUCUUCCUACUGUGUUUUGGAGGGAAGGGGUGCAGUAAUUUCUAUCCUUUUCACAUACUUCACCUUGUUUCAAUUGUGCAAGGUUUUGAGACAGGUGUGCAAUUCCUAGUGCUAAGCGAUUAACCAAAACGUUGGUUAUUUUUUGUUGAAUUGACCAACAUCAGUUCAAUUAUUUGAAUUCCAUUUUGUUCAGUUUUUUUCUGUGAACACAAUGCCACAUUGAGCUCCAGUUUCAUGAGAGAUAAAUUAGAUCAUAACCAAACUGUGCAAUGUAGUAGGGAGUUGUUGUUUCUAACAGGCCACUGUUCUACAUAGUUUAGAGCUGAGUUUUUUAAAAUAAUAACUACAAUAACCAUAAUCCAUUAUGCGGCUACUUGUCCGGUCUGUGUUACUUUUAUGCCUGCUACAUAAGAGACCGACGAAUGCUGUGAUCAAGAGGGGAUACAUAGAGAGCAGUUGCUUUUCAAGGUAUUGGUACUCAGCAGUCAUAAAAGUAUACCUUGUAUACUUUGAAGAACUACUAAAAUUGUGAUUUUGUCAGACAGCAUAGGCAGCAGCUCUAUAGAAAUGAGAUGAUAACUUGGAGUAAAAUAAUAAAAUCAUCAAAUAAACCAAAUGUAACUGACACAACAACUGAAAUAUUUUAUUAAAGUAAUGUGAAUAAACUGAUGGUUAAUUAGUGAUUAAGGAGUCAUGGGCUGUCACUACCAUCAUGGGACUUUUAAUAAUUGUUUUAUUCUGUGUUGUUACAGUGUUCAACCCACAUAAUGCAUUUAAUGUUUAAAAAAAUAAUUAAAACAGAAAAUCGUGAGAAUUGUUUUAUAAUCGAACUGAAACCGGACUGACCUCAAAAUCUACUAUUUGCUCAACACUAGCAAUUCCAAAGGAGGAAGGAUAUGGAAGUGGAAAUGUUGGGAGAAUAUCACAGGCAGGCCCUCUUGUUAUUGCCAAACUCAGUACUCUUUUCUUGCUCUGACCAGGAUACAUUCAUCAAUAGCCAUUGGAGGAGGACUCCCAGCUAGCACAUUUGGUUCCUUGGAAGUUGUGGGAACAUAUGUUUUUGGUUUCCCAUUGGUUUAACGUUCUGAGAACUGAAGUGAAAAUGUUGCCUGUUCUGGGAAAGUACACUUUUAGGUUGCAGGGCGGUUCUGAGAAUGUUUUACUAUGUAUGGUUCCCUGACGGUGUUCCUGGGAGGUUUUAUUAACAUUCUGAGAAUGGAAAUUAUAGGUUAUUUUAAGGUAAUUAAAUACCGUUCUGCGAACAUGUUUCAAUUAGACUUUUAAUAACAUUUUGUCUUAACUCAUUUGAACUCAAAGCACAGAAAACACAAUUAAUUUGCUUAAGCCGGAAGUGCUAUUUCUUAUGCAAAUGACCAGCUUACUGCUAUUACAUUGCUAUAACUGAGACAACGUAUUUUCACAGUGAAACAUGUUAGGUCCCAUACAGGAUAGCUUCCACACCCACACACACAGCACACACACACACUAACUGCCGAGGACACACAGAUAAGACAUACACCCACACAUUGGGAGGAAGAGACACAGCCUUUACUUGCAGACACAAGCACACACACACAAUCUCCUUCCUAGCCGAACAUUGUGUGACAGAACGGCUCGACGAGACCCGGAGGAACGACGGACGGCUCAACAGGACCAAUCCAAGAAGACAACACCUCAACUGUGGCCAACCAAAAGACCGGGACUUCCAGACUCAACCCACUUUCUGUACUGUACAUAACAUGCUUGCAAUCUGUUAUCGGGGCUUCUUUCUGCUGGUUCCUUGUGAGCCAAAUGAAUGAGCCCGUAUACGUUGUACCAGAUAUCUUUACUCUGAAUAAACUGUCGCUUGUCAUACAAUUUA